rnacentral:lncRNA from 1 species
GUGAGAAGAUUAAACAAGUGCAGCGUAAGUUGUUUAUCAAUAUUUCGUAAUAUGAACUUGACCGAAAGUCGAAAAAUUUAAAAGUCUUUUUUCUUGUCAUAUGAAAUGAACCUAUGGCUGCCCUGUAGUCUUCUAUACUGUUACCCAUUUGGGUUCAGAAUAGCAAAUAAGUUAAAGCAGAGGGCAGCCACACGAUCCAAGCAUACAUAUAAAUACACAUACAGCAGCAUCAUCAUCAUCAUAGAAACAAAGUGAAAAAAUAUAUACAAAAUAAC